GCUGUUAGGGCAUGCUUAUGUGUUUUGGGGUGGUUGCUAAGGUAUUCUGGGUGGUUAGGGUUUUGCUAAGAUAUUUUCUGGUUGUUAGUAGUUGCAGGGGAAAUCUGUGUGGUUGCUAGGGGGGUGCUAAUGUAUUCUGGGUGGUUAGGGUGUUAAGAGGUAUUCUUUUUUGGUUGUUAGGUAGUUGCAGGGGAAAUCUAUGUGGUUGCUAGGGGGUUGCUAAGGUAUUCUGGGUGGUUAGGGUUAGGUUUUGCUAAGAUAUUUUCUGGUUGUUAGGUAGUUGCAGGGGAAAUCUGUGUGGGUUGCUAGGGGGUUGCUAAUGUAUUCUGGGUGGUUAGGGUGUUAAGAGGUUUUUCUGGUUGUUAGGUAGUUGCAGGGGAAAUCUGUGUGGUUGCUAGGGGGUUGCUAAUGUAUUCUGGGUGGUUAGGGUGUUAAGAGAUUUUUUUUGGUUGUUAGGUAGUUGCAGGGGAAAUCUGUGUGGUUGCUAGGGGGUUGCUUAUGUAUUCUGGGUGGUUAGGGUGUUAAGAGGUUUUUUUGGUUGUUAGGUAGUUGCAGGGGAAAUUUGUGUGGUUGCUAGGGGGUUGCUAAUGUAUUCUGGGUGGUUAGGGUGUUAAGAGAUUUUUUUGGUUGUUAGGUAGUUGCAGGGGAAAUCUGUGUGGUUGCUAGGGGGUUGCUAAGGUAUUCUGGGUGGUUAGGGUUAGGUUUUGCUAAGAGAUUUUUCUGGUUGUUAGGUA